rnacentral:piRNA from 1 species
UGAGAGUAUUUAUUUCCAUAAACCUUU